CGGGCAUCACUUCCGGUGCACACAAGCUGUUAUUCUGCUCUGGAAACUUAAGCAGAGGAGAAGGGAGAAGGAAAAAGAGUCUGGUGCACUGAAACCUGCUCUGAUGGCGCACAAGAGUUGAUUGUGCAUGGCUCGGUCCUAACGCUGUGUUCAGCGACAUCAAACUGCCCACUUGCAGUUGGGUGGGGCCGUGUGACCAGUUCUGCUGAGUGAGCUGUGAGUUGAAGUGACACGUAGCAGAUUUAGGAGCUGAUGUGCCAUCUUCCAGCCUUCUCUUCUACAGCUGCAAUCAUGGAGGCCAUAUGUUGAGACAGCAGAACCACAGGAUGAAGUAACCUGAUUGCUGAGUCAGCACAUGGAGAACAGCUGUCUUUAGAGAGCUGCCUGAUUGUCUGUGGAUGUCAGGGAA